rnacentral:rRNA from 2 species
UUAAGCGACUAAGCGUACACGGUGGAUGCCCUGGCAGUCAGAGGCGAUGAAGGACGUGCUAAUCUGCGAUAAGCGUCGGUAAGGUGAUAUGAACCGUUAUAACCGGCGAUUUCCGAAUGGGGAAACCCAGUGUGAUUCGUCACACUAUCAUUAACUGAAUCCAUAGGUUAAUGAGGCGAACCGGGGGAACUGAAACAUCUAAGUACCCCGAGGAAAAGAAAUCAACCGAGAUUCCCCCAGUAGCGGCGAGCGAACGGGGAGCAGCCCAGAGCCUGAAUCAGUGUGUGUGUUAGUGGAAGCGUCUGGAAAGGCGCGCGAUACAGGGUGACAGCCCCGUACACAAAAAUGCACAUGCUGUGAGCUCGAUGAGUAGGGCGGGACACGUGGUAUCCUGUCUGAAUAUGGGGGGACCAUCCUCCAAGGCUAAAUACUCCUGACUGACCGAUAGUGAACCAGUACCGUGAGGGAAAGGCGAAAAGAACCCCGGCGAGGGGAGUGAAAAAGAACCUGAAACCGUGUACGUACAAGCAGUGGGAGCACGCUUAGGCGUGUGACUGCGUACCUUUUGUAUAAUGGGUCAGCGACUUAUAUUCUGUAGCAAGGUUAACCGAAUAGGGGAGCCGAAGGGAAACCGAGUCUUAACUGGGCGUUAAGUUGCAGGGUAUAGACCCGAAACCCGGUGAUCUAGCCAUGGGCAGGUUGAAGGUUGGGUAACACUAACUGGAGGACCGAACCGACUAAUGUUGAAAAAUUAGCGGAUGACUUGUGGCUGGGGGUGAAAGGCCAAUCAAACCGGGAGAUAGCUGGUUCUCCCCGAAAGCUAUUUAGGUAGCGCCUCGUGAAUUCAUCUCCGGGGGUAGAGCACUGUUUCGGCAAGGGGGUCAUCCCGACUUACCAACCCGAUGCAAACUGCGAAUACCGGAGAAUGUUAUCACGGGAGACACACGGCGGGUGCUAACGUCCGUCGUGAAGAGGGAAACAACCCAGACCGCCAGCUAAGGUCCCAAAGUCAUGGUUAAGUGGGAAACGAUGUGGGAAGGCCCAGACAGCCAGGAUGUUGGCUUAGAAGCAGCCAUCAUUUAAAGAAAGCGUAAUAGCUCACUGGUCGAGUCGGCCUGCGCGGAAGAUGUAACGGGGCUAAACCAUGCACCGAAGCUGCGGCAGCGACGCUUAUGCGUUGUUGGGUAGGGGAGCGUUCUGUAAGCCUGCGAAGGUGUGCUGUGAGGCAUGCUGGAGGUAUCAGAAGUGCGAAUGCUGACAUAAGUAACGAUAAAGCGGGUGAAAAGCCCGCUCGCCGGAAGACCAAGGGUUCCUGUCCAACGUUAAUCGGGGCAGGGUGAGUCGACCCCUAAGGCGAGGCCGAAAGGCGUAGUCGAUGGGAAACAGGUUAAUAUUCCUGUACUUGGUGUUACUGCGAAGGGGGGACGGAGAAGGCUAUGUUGGCCGGGCGACGGUUGUCCCGGUUUAAGCGUGUAGGCUGGUUUUCCAGGCAAAUCCGGAAAAUCAAGGCUGAGGCGUGAUGACGAGGCACUACGGUGCUGAAGCAACAAAUGCCCUGCUUCCAGGAAAAGCCUCUAAGCAUCAGGUAACAUCAAAUCGUACCCCAAACCGACACAGGUGGUCAGGUAGAGAAUACCAAGGCGCUUGAGAGAACUCGGGUGAAGGAACUAGGCAAAAUGGUGCCGUAACUUCGGGAGAAGGCACGCUGAUAUGUAGGUGAAGUCCCUCGCGGAUGGAGCUGAAAUCAGUCGAAGAUACCAGCUGGCUGCAACUGUUUAUUAAAAACACAGCACUGUGCAAACACGAAAGUGGACGUAUACGGUGUGACGCCUGCCCGGUGCCGGAAGGUUAAUUGAUGGGGUUAGCGCAAGCGAAGCUCUUGAUCGAAGCCCCGGUAAACGGCGGCCGUAACUAUAACGGUCCUAAGGUAGCGAAAUUCCUUGUCGGGUAAGUUCCGACCUGCACGAAUGGCGUAAUGAUGGCCAGGCUGUCUCCACCCGAGACUCAGUGAAAUUGAACUCGCUGUGAAGAUGCAGUGUACCCGCGGCAAGACGGAAAGACCCCGUGAACCUUUACUAUAGCUUGACACUGAACAUUGAGCCUUGAUGUGUAGGAUAGGUGGGAGGCUUUGAAGUGUGGACGCCAGUCUGCAUGGAGCCGACCUUGAAAUACCACCCUUUAAUGUUUGAUGUUCUAACGUUGACCCGUGAUCCGGGUUGCGGACAGUGUCUGGUGGGUAGUUUGACUGGGGCGGUCUCCUCCUAAAGAGUAACGGAGGAGCACGAAGGUUGGCUAAUCCUGGUCGGACAUCAGGAGGUUAGUGCAAUGGCAUAAGCCAGCUUGACUGCGAGCGUGACGGCGCGAGCAGGUGCGAAAGCAGGUCAUAGUGAUCCGGUGGUUCUGAAUGGAAGGGCCAUCGCUCAACGGAUAAAAGGUACUCCGGGGAUAACAGGCUGAUACCGCCCAAGAGUUCAUAUCGACGGCGGUGUUUGGCACCUCGAUGUCGGCUCAUCACAUCCUGGGGCUGAAGUAGGUCCCAAGGGUAUGGCUGUUCGCCAUUUAAAGUGGUACGCGAGCUGGGUUUAGAACGUCGUGAGACAGUUCGGUCCCUAUCUGCCGUGGGCGCUGGAGAACUGAGGGGGGCUGCUCCUAGUACGAGAGGACCGGAGUGGACGCAUCACUGGUGUUCGGGUUGUCAUGCCAAUGGCACUGCCCGGUAGCUAAAUGCGGAAGAGAUAAGUGCUGAAAGCAUCUAAGCACGAAACUUGCCCCGAGAUGAGUUCUCCCUGACUCCUUGAGAGUCCUGAAGGAACGUUGAAGACGACGACGUUGAUAGGCCGGGUGUGUAAGCGCAGCGAUGCGUUGAGCUAACCGGUACUAAUGAACCGUGAGGCUUAACCUU